CCUGUGUCUGCUGGUUCUUCAUGCACACACCAAUUAUUAGGUGAGGGGUUGGUAUUGGGCCUUCCGUUGCAAUGUUAGGUGUCCAUUUUGUAAUGAGCCCCAUUGGGGAGUUCGACCACUUCCUUGAUCUGUCAGAUCUGAUUGAUCCCCUUUCUGCUCUCAGAAACAAGCCACCUAUCAGUCUGUAAACAAACAAACAAACAAACAAAAAACUAGAUGGUUCCUGGAAGAUGGUGCUGUUUCUGGUGUACUCGGAGGCUGCAGUCAUCUCCCUCAAAAUGGACUUAGAAGCUGUGUUUCCAGAGGCAAGCAGGUAUGAGUUGGGGCCAGCCUGGUCUACGUAGGAAGUUUCGGGCCAGUCAGGUUUGCAGCGAGAACCUGACUCAAAUUAAGAUGGAGUCUCCCAGGGCAGGGCACAGCCUGGAAAAAAAAAAAAAAAAAACACUGUUUCCUACAAUAUAGGGCAAUUUCGAAUAGCGCAUAGCCAUUAGGGCAUCUCGAAAGUGCCCAGUGAGUUUUCUGGGUUCUUGUGUUCCAGAAUUAAAAAAAAAAAAAAAAAACUGGAACAAUGACACACUGAUAGUCAUGUGGGUGGAGAUGUUUGGUUAAGAAGGAAUGUUCCCAACUGUGGACAUGGACAGCCUACUUACUGUCUGGCCACAAUGUGUUGGAGAGCUGUGGUUAUAAGGAGCUGAAAGAUGAUCAGGCUUCUGCAAAUGAUAUGCUAAUGAGGGGAGUAGAAUCUGCCUAAGAAGGACCUAAACCUCCCUCUUUUACCAAUUGGCUGGAGAGGGGGCUUUGGCUCUCCUGCAGUGGGAGUUGGGAUCCUUAUAGCGUAAGGGCUUUAGUUUGAAACUGUCAUAGCUAAAAGGUAGAAAUUUUACAAGACUGAAAAUAACAAUGUAUAAUCAAGAGAAACGUGAUUAACGCCACCAAUGGCUCCAAAGGGCCAAAGCCAGAAAAUCCAUCUCCAUAUUUAUCCCAGGAGAGCUACGUUUGUGUAGCUUGUUCUCUGAGGUAUCAUUCUCCAGGUAAGGAACCGGUGAGUAUGUAAAGUAGAAAAAUCCUCACACAUUUCAUGGUGGGAUUGUAAAAUGGCUUGGUUAUUUAAAAACAAAAUACAGCUAUUUGUGCAGUGAUGUGUGAUCACACCUAAGCGGCAGGGACUUCUCAUUGUGUAGACACCAUAGCAUACUUAUAUAAACUAAUGUUUUAUGUGUUUUGUUUGCUGCUGCAGAUUUACCUGGGGACUGCAUGCAUGCUAAGUCCAUGGUUGUCACGUGACCAUGUGGAAACUGCUGCACAACAGGAGCUCUGGAGUCAGGUGUUGUCUCAAGUUCCUGAUCUUCCUCAGACUUGUCAGUGCUAGGAUUAUAGGAAUGCAGUAGCAUGGUGCCUUUCCUUUGGAAACAGUAUCCAUACUUUAUGCCUAAGAAAUUCCAUGGCUAGGUGUUACUAAUAAUUAUGACUGCUUGCGACACUGCAUUUCUAAUAGAAAACUGUUCAUCUGGGGCUGGGUAUUAGUGGGGAAAAUGUUUGUUUGCUAUGCAUACGAACCUGGGGUUGAUCCUCGGUGUUGCAGGGAGAGAAAAGCUAUGCUAGUAUUAUUCAUAAUAUUCAUUAUAUCUUUAUGCUGGGAGCAAUCCAAGAGCUGGUGAGAAGCAGAGUGCCUUAGCUAAAUUGGGGAAUAUUUACACAACAGAACACUAUGAAACAAUGUCUCGAAACAACAAAACCCCACAAUUAAAAAAAAAAAAAAAGAGGGGUUGGGGAUUUAGCUCAGUGGUAGAGCGCUUGUCUAGGAAGCACAAGGCCCUGGGUUCGGUCCCCAGCUCCGAAAAAAAGGACCAAAAAAAAAAAAAAAUGAGUGUGUAAGUUAAAACCUGUGCGAAGUUUUAAAUAAUUUUACAAUUUAGGUCUUUGUAGAAUUGAAGUUUGUCAUUCUGCUUCUUCAGUUGUUGUUGUUGUUGUUGUUGCUGUUGUUGUUGUUGUUGUUGUUGUUUUGAGACAGGGUCUUGAUGAAGUAGCCCAGGCUGGCCUCAAAUUUGUUGUCAUCCUACUGCAUCAGCUUCCCGUGUCCUGGGGCUGUGAGCAUUCACCACCAAGUCUGGUUCCAUGGUUUUCUUACGCUCGAUCUAUCAUGCCGGGCUUAGGCAGUGAAGGAGUUGGAAGACAGAAAGCUGGCGAUAAUGUAGUAGAAUAAGGGAGGCCAAGGUUCAGCUCCAGCAAGCAGCAGAACUCGGCAGCUUCACCACGUGGCUCUGGCUUUAGAGUCCAGACGGGAAGGGACUACUGGGACAACUGAUGUUGGUCAGCCUGAGCUAAGAAGUCAGCAGUGAUUAAGAAGUGACCAGCAUCACUGAAGUGAAAUCUUUCCUGAGAGCACAAAGAAGCUAUGUUCCAGAGACACCCAAGGUCGUACCUCGUGCUGCAGCUGGACUUGGUAACGUGUAAGAAUCACUCAGGUGGUACUGGCUUUGAAGGUAUGAAGGGGUCAUGGAGAGUGGCUGAGGCUUGGCACCGAGAGAGGCCAUGGAAGGCCAUUGGUGAAGGUGCAGCCUCAGUUGCAGUGGAUGGCCCAAGAUGGCCCAAGAAUGAAGGGGUCAUGCAAAGGAGUUGAGGCUUGGCACCAUGAAGAGAGCCCAUGAGAGGCUAUUGGUGAAGCCUGGUUGCAGCAGAAGUCCCCAGUGUAUUGGAGAUGCCAGUACCAUGGGAUGAUCACCAAGAACAGCAGAGGCAGUGAAGUGGAUCACCCUGAGUUUAGAGAGCUACAGAGGGCAGGGCUGGAGAAGUGACACCAGCCCUUUGGAGGAUCCCAGAAGAUCAUGUGUGGAUACCAGACAUUGGGACAAGAAACUGUGAAGCUGAAGUUGACUUGGAGACCCCAAGAUGUUAACGAUGCCAGAGCCAUGGGCUAUCUGCUGAGGAAAGCUGCUAACAGGGAGUGGAACCAGCCCAGGAGAUAGAACUUUAUUGUAGUCAACAAAGAUGAAAAAUGAGUUGGAGAUCUCAAGACCAUUUUGACAUCAGACGUGGAGAUGUAGAGUUCUGAGUUUGCCCAGCUGGUUUCCUGUUUUGCUUUGGGUAUUAGAGUUAAGUGAUUGGAUGACUCUCAGAAGAAACUUUGAACCUUGGACUUUUAACAUUGUUGAGACUGCUAUAAGCUAUGGAGACUUUGGAAGUUGGACUAAAAGUACUUUUUAAAUUUUGCUAUGUUUAGGUCUGGCCCCCAUAGACUCAUGUGUUUGAACAGGCCUAUCGGGACCAGGGAGUGGCAUGUGAUGGUUUAUAUAUGCUUGGCUCAGGGAGUGGCACUAUUAGGUGUGACCUUGUUGGAGUAGGUGUGUUAUUAUAGGUGAGGACUCCCACCUUGAUAAUGGAUUGAACCUCUGAACCUGUGAACCAGUCCCAAUUAAAUGUUGGCCUUAUAA